GCGCCGCACGCGAAUGACUAGACCAAACCUUGACGAGAUUCCUCUCGUUCGGUACGUGGUGCUCCGGCGUUGACUCGAGCUUGCCUUGCCGACAUUCGUGAUGCUGUUGGACGGGUGUUAACCUAUGCUCCUUCACCUUAUGGGUUGCUUUGCUUGGGUUUGACAGUGGUCGAUGGUGAUCUGUUUCGGCGCAUCUUUGUGACUUGGGUGGUAGGUGGUUGUCGGUAUCCUUUUUUUCAGGGACGACGAGGGUGGUAGGUGGUGGCGAUGCAGUGGUUGUGGUGUUUCUUGAAGCGGGGCGGCGGUGGCACACUCACGGCGAG
rnacentral:lncRNA from 1 species